rnacentral:misc_RNA from 1 species
CAAAAACUGUCUCUCGUAUGCGCUAGGCCAUUGAACUGAAUAUUUACCUGCUAGUGAAAGUAAAAAUACGUGGCACAACGAGGUUUUAGUACGUUUUAAAAUUGAUUUUAUAUUAUAUUUACAUCUUUUCGAAGAACCCUGGUAUGUGACUGUAUUGAACACGCCCUAAUUGGAAAAUUAAGAGGGCAUUUAAUGAUGGAAGUCAGGUUGAGAUGUAUAAAGCGUAAAGGACAACAUUGGACCGUCAAGACUUUUGUAUUUGCGCUUUUUUGUGUCGGUUUGAAUAUCAAGUUAGCAGUCUCACUGGACACAGGGGGUGUGGCUGCUAACAGUCUAGGGAAGCAGGACAUUGAGCAGUCUGACAGUGACCAAAGGGCAACCAAUAUUAACCAACAACAACCUCCAGCUGGCACAAAGCCCCCAACCCAUGGAAAGGGUCAGGACUCUCCACAUCAGGGACAAGGUAAUCAGAACAGUGAGCAAUUAGAACAGGUUAAACCUAGUACACAACCAGAACCAGAAAACCAUGAUGAACCUCAAACUCCACUGAAUAAAAUCCAACCCCAGGGUCAUGUUAACCAACAGGCAACACCAUCUCAAAAAAAUAAAAACACAUCUCCAGUUCCACCAGUACAAGUUAACCAAAACACACCUCUGACACAAGUUAAUCAGAAUACCCCACCAGUACAAGUUAACCAAAACACCCCACCGGUACAAGCUAACCAAAAUACCCCACCAGUGCAAGCUAACCAAAAUACCCCACCGGUACAAGUUAACCAAAACACACAUCCGGCACAAGUUAAUCAGAAUACCCCACCAGUACAAGUUAACCAAAACACCCCACCGGUACAAGCUAACCAAAAUACCCCACCAGUACAAGUUAACCAAAAUACCCCACCGGUACAAGUUAACCAAAACACACCUCCAUUACAAGUUAAUCAGAAUACCCCACCAGUACAACUUAACCAAAACACACAUCCGGCACAAGUUAAUCAGAAUACCCCACCAGUACAAGUUAACCAAAACACCCCACCGGUACAAGCUAACCAAAAUACCCCACCAGUACAAGUUAACCAAAACACACCUCCGGUACAAGUUAACCAAAACACACCACCAGUACAAGUUAACCAAAACAUCCCACCAGUAGAAGUUAACCAAAACAUCCCACCAGUAGAAGUUAAAGAUAUACCACAAUUACAGGUUAAGCAAAACGCUCAUCCAAGUUCGGAAACCCAGAACAAAAAACCUUCACCAGGUCCAAUUAAAACAGAGCAGGUUAGGGAAAACUUGCAACCAGAACAGGUUCAGAAGGGAAAACAUCCUGAACAAGUUUAUAAAAACAGUGACACAAUUAUAUCAAAACCUGAACAGCAUAUUCCUCAUCUGGUUCCCAAUCAAGAGCUAGAAGAAAUUGAUAGUGGAUCUUUAAAUCAAGGACAUCAGAAAAAUGAUAAAGAAAACAAAGAUAGUCUGGUGUUAGAUGAGUCCAAAGAUACAGCUGAAGAUGGUAGUAGAACAAAAAAAGGGGAAAGACCACGCCCGGUAGACACCCCACAGCCACCGAACCCCUCCUCUCCCUCGCCCAGCAUCAGUAACCAGCAGGAAAAUACUAUGUCAGAAGAUCCUACAGAAGAAGUCCAGCUUUCACCAAAAGAGCUUAAAGCUGAAGAGUUCUACAGACUAGGGGAAGCACUCAUCAAUACUACUUAUAUGAAAGACUAUGACCAAGCACACCAGUACUUCCAGCUGGCAGCAGGCCUGAACCAUACACAUGCCUUAGAGUACACCGGCUUCGCAAACCUGUUUGGGGACUACCUACCCCAGAACAUCAGCAGGUCCAUAGAGGUGUUCCAUGACCUGGCUGGAAGGGGUAGUCCCAGGGGUCAGCUGGGAAUGGGAUUUGUAAACAGUGCUGGCAUUGGCAGAAAUUCCAGUCAGGCAGAGGCACUGGUUUACUUUACCUUCUCAGCCCUCGGUGGGGAUCCUUUGGCCCAGAUGGCUUUGGGUUACCGGUACUGGUCGGGGAUUGGUGUAGAGAUGAAGUGCGAGUCGGCCCUGACGUACUACAAGAAAGUGGCAGCCACAGUGGCAGAUGCGGUGACAGUAUCUGGUGGGCCCGUGAUACAGCGAGUACGACUACAGGAAGAGGUGGAGAACACUAACUCCGGACAGAGUGCUCUCAUGGACGACGAUCUGCUCCAGUACUACCAUUUCCUGGCUGAUAAAGGGGAUGUGCAAGCACAGGUAGUGCUGGGCCAGCUGUACUACCAGGGAGGCCGAGGUGUUGGGAUCAACCAUGAUAGAGCUCUCCACUACUUCCUGAUGGCUGGGGAGUCAGCCAACGCCAAUGCAUAUGCCUUCCUUGGCAAGAUGUACUCUGAAGGAAGUCCAGUUAUCAAACAGAACAACCAAACUGCCUUACAGUUCUUCAGACAGGCAGCAGAGAAGGGUAACCCGGUUGGACAGACUGGACUAGGAGUGAUGUACAUGUAUGGCAAAGGUGUAGAACAGGAUUAUAUUAAGGCGUUCCAGUACUUCACACAAGCUGCUGAGCAGGGCUGGAUGGAGUCCCAACUACAACUUGGACUCAUGCACUUCAGUGGAAAAGGGGUGAGGAGAGACUACAAGCUGGCUGUGAAAUACUUCAACCUUGCCUCACAAGGCGGCCAUGUCUUAGCCUUCUUCAACCUGGCUCAGAUGCAUGCUACAGGCACAGGUGUGCUGAGGAAUUGUCACACCGCAGUGGAGUUGUUUAAGAACGUGGCUGAGCGGGGUCGUUGGGCGGAGAUGCUUUCGGAGGCCCAUAGUCUGUAUAAGGAGGGUAAUCUGUUUCAUUCGCUUAUCAAGUACACUUUCCUAGCUGAGCUUGGCUACGAGGUCGCCCAGUCCAACGUCGCUUUCAUACUUGACCAAGGUGAGAUUGGUGAUUUCCACGAAACAGAGAUCUUUGAGCGUGCAUUAUUGCAGUGGGCACGUGCAGCUGCGCAGGGGUCAACGUCGGCGCGUGUGAAGAUGGGUGAUUACCACUACUACGGCCAGGGGACUAAGAUAGACUACGAGACAGCUGCCUCCCACUACCGUUUGGCCUCAGAGCAGCAGCAUAAUGCUCAGGCCAUGUUCAACCUAGGAUACAUGCAUGAGAAGGGCCUGGGUCUCAAACAGGAUGUUCACCUGGCCAAGCGUUUCUAUGACAUGGCGGCAGAAACCAGUAUAGAUGCGCAAGUACCUGUCAUGCUGGCCCUUGCCAAGCUUGGUGUAUUUUAUGGGGUUGACAUCUUCAACAAAGAGAUGGAGGAUUAUAACCAACUGUUGCUGAAAUUUGACCCACGUUUCUACCUCGGACCAGACUGGGAUAUCUAUGUGAUGACAUUCCUUGCCCUUCUCCUAGGUUUCAUUGUACUUCUGCGAAGGAUCCGGUAGCCCCCCAGCACACUCAUAUUCAGAUUGAAACAGUUUAAGUGGUGCUACUACACAAUAUCAACAAUGGCUUUAUCACCUAGAGAGAUAAAAGGAUAAAGAGGAGAGUCGACAUUUCUUCUUAUAUAUGGCACAAAUUAAAUGAUGAAAAACAUUCUAUGCUUCUACACCAACUCAUGAUCUGAGGUCAUUGCUGAUCUGACUGGGUCAACAGUGCUACAGUACUAGUCCUCAAUCUACAGGUUAUGCCAUCACUUGUCUGGAAACAAAAUGUCAUCAAACUCUACAGUGCUUAGUGUACAGUUAAUGGAUUGACACUCGGUGAAUGUCCAGAUACAUUACAAGGAAUAAAUAUGGAGAGAUCUGACAUCAGUACAGGUCUCAUGAAAACCAUUUUUUUAGGAGAAACCUUGCCUUAAAACAUUACUUUAGAAUUUUGAAGAUGUCUAUUGAAGAUGUUGAUGAACAGGAAAGACAAAAUUCUCAAAAAUUAGAUAACAUACUAUACGAUUCUAGUUCUCUCAAACUGUUGUGCCACAGGGGUUUCAUAAUUGUUAUAGACACUUAUACUUGGAUAUGGGCUAUAUGAAAUUGUAGACCCUACUGUCCUCAAACAUCAACUGUUCUAGUCCCCAAUACCCUGACACAGAGAUUGAAUUAUAUUGUUGCCCUGUUAGAGAAGGUGUGUCCCCUAUGCCUAACAAGGUUCUGUCAGAGUUGGUGGGUCCCCAUGCCAAUGUUCCAUAAGGUUCUGUCAAAGUGUGUCCACUAAUACCUCACAAAGUUCUGUCUAAGUGGGUGCAUGAUAUAUUUUAAUGGAGGCUGGUUAGGCCAGCAAUCAUACUCCCAGCUAAAAGUGCCUGGAUUAUGAAACAGCGCAAUUUUAGGACAAUUAAAAGAAGUAGAAUAUUUUUUGAUGGAAUAUUGGAUUAUCCAGCAUAGUAGAGGCCAAAUAUACCAUACCUGCUAUAAGUUUCAUCUCUCCCAGCCCAGGUUUGGACAAUUUCAGUGUGUAAUGUCGCACCAUUUUGCAUUUUUCAUGUAAUGGAGGAAAGAAAAUAUCCAACUCUUAAUGAUCAGAUAUGAUUUAUAUCCAUUCUCAUAAGCUCAUUAUCCAGAAAAUUGUACUCCCUGAAGCUUUGUUUAUUUGGAAAUAAAUCAUGAUCAGUCAUAGUGAGUUAGAUAUCCUCCAUAUACUUUGUUAGUGUGGACAGGGGUUUCCAAAAUACAAUUUGUAGAGUGAGAGAAGGGGAAGUUAAUAUCUACUCUAGACUUACACUUGUUAAGAGAAAUUCAAUGUAAAAGAUGGGGUUGUAAAGAUGUUGGUAAAAAAGUGAUGAAUGAGGAAAAUAUUUUGAUACGUAAGAAUAUUUGUUAUUUGUGUUCUAUCAAAUCUAAAAUCUAUAAUAUAUAUGCAAACGUUUAUAGAAUCAUGCUAUUUAUUUUGUAAAUGAGUGUGGUAUACGUGUGAUGUUUGUAUGGGAAAUUACUAUGUGGUACAUGGUGUAUGUGUGCUUGUAUAAAUGUGUGUAUUGGUAUUGACUAUGUGUUAUGUGUGUUUGUAUGAAUGUGUGUACGGGUGUUUGCCAUAGAAACCAAUGGGAGUGCUUGAUUACUCUGUUCAAAAGAAAGAUAAAAAAGUCAGAAAUUUAAAUGUAAAAGUGUGAUUAAUGAACUAUUAGAAGAGUGGACUUGGUAGAUAGAGUGGUAUUUGUUGAUUGAAAACUAAAAGAGGAUUAGGAAUAAAUGGCAUGGUCAUAUAAGUUAAUACAUAGAUUUUGCAAUAUAAGUAUAUAAUGAUUAUUUAAAGUAUGGUAUUCUGGUGUUGUCAAAUAUUGUGGGUAAUUCUAGACUCUAGGUCGACCAAGGAAGCCUGUCAAGGUAGUUGUAAGUAUAGUGACCUCCCAAGGUACAUGUAAUUAUGGUGAAAUGUCCGAGUACAAGUAACCAUGGUGAAAUGUCUGGAUAUAAGUAACCAUGGUGACCUGUCAAGGUACAUGUAUGCAGAAUAAUCUACCAAGGUACAAGUAACCAUGGUGAAAUGUCUGGGUACAAGUAACCAUGGUGAAAUGUCUGGGUACAAGUAACCAUAGUGAAAUGUCAGGGUACAAGUAACCUUGGUGACCUGUCUAGGUACAAAUGACCAUAGUGACCUGUCUAGGUACAAGUGACCAUAUUGACCUGUCUAGGUACAAGUAACCUUGGUGUCCUGUCCAGUUAUAUGUAACCAUAGUGACCUGUCCAGGUACAUGUUACCAUAGUGACCUGUCUAGGUACAAGUGACCUUGGUGACCUGUCCAGUUAUAUGUAACCAUAGUGACCUGUCCAGGUACAUGUUACCAUAGUGACCUGUCUAGGUAUAUGUAACCAUGGUAGGCAAGAGAUACCAUGAAAGCCUUGGACACAACUAGACAGAUUUUUAUCUUCUUUUCUGCUAAUUAGUUAAGUUUGUUUAAUUGUUGUAUUUAAAGAAGAAUUUUCCAUGCUAUAUUUGUGUGAUGACUUUAGAAUUGGUAUUUUACACCUUAACACAGCAACUUCUGUACAGGUUUGUAAAUGGUAAUCAUGAAUGUCAUUAAAGGUGUUUAUAUAAUAUAAUGUGUGAACAAUGCAUUAUGAUAUAUCAGACAUUUUGUUCUACCAUAUCUUUGCAGCAUUGGUCUGUAAUUGGUGAACUUGUCUACAUUAGAUAGCUCAUGGUGAAGUACAGACGGGCUACCUACAACAGUGUGGUGGUCAAGCUCUAGUAUCACAUACUUGGUUUUAUGAGACAGCAUAUUCCCUGUACCUCCCCUUACAUUUUCUGUUUCUUUUUAUGGAAAAUGAUAUCUAUAUUAGCAAGUGUGUUGUGAUCAUGGACCCAUCUGUCGAGAAGCCCGACUCCAUCUACGACUGUCUGAUGUACUUUACUAUUAUCAUUUUUUUUUAUUUGAUGUUUUACUUUUACAACACCAGUAUAAUAGCAUGUUGAUGUGUUACAAACCUUCUACAAGAUCUAGCAGGUCCACACUUAACAAGUUUUAAUGCAAUCUUGAAUGAAGCACUGGAUACAACUGACUACAAAAAAGUGUAUCAUUAGUGGGAUGUUAAUUGAAAUUUAUUUCAUUAUUUACUGUAAAGUGCUUAUAUUUCAAGAAUUUUUGCUUUCGCUAUAUAUGUUACCAGAAACACAGGUGACAUAAAACUCUGAAACUGUUGCGGUUCUAAUCAAGUAGUUUUACUUUAUCAAUGGUAUUGUCUGUGAUUUGUUGCCAUUCUGAUAAAGAGUUUACCUAAUUUAAUGAUGUUGUGGGAAAUUGUUAACACCGCCAAAUUAAAUCACACAGAGUGUUCUAUAUUAGCUUGGUAUUUAAUGUUUUUAUUGUGCAUUUUUUUCUCCAGAUCCAGAGCAUAAAGUUGCAAUGUACAUGAAAUCAUGUAGACAUUCCGAUAUUGGUAAUAAGUUGGGGGUUACCUGUAUCCUUUUUUACCAUUAAUAUGUGAUUAAUGUCUCUUUUUUACCAGCUUGCAUCUCAUUUUUAACCAGUGAUAUAUAAUUAGCAUCUCUCCACAUCAGUGUCCGCGUGAAUGUUGUGUGCGUGUAAGCUGUGUGGGUCUCAAGCUGUUAGAUAUACACACAGAAGUAAUACAAACUUGUGUGAUACAGAAAUAAAACAUCUAAACAGUG